rnacentral:rRNA from 1 species
UUAACACAUGCAAGUCGAACGAUCCUUCGGGAUAGUGGCGGACGGGUGAGUAACGCGUGGGAAUCUGCCCUCAGGAGGGGGAUAACGGCUGGAAACGGCCGCUAAUACCCCAUAUGCCGAGAGGUGAAAUGAAUUUCGCCUGAGGAUGAGCCCGCGUCUGAUUAGCUAGUUGGUGGGGUAAAGGCCUACCAAGGCAACGAUCAGUAGCUGGUCUGAGAGGAUGAUCAGCCACACUGGGACUGAGACACGGCCCAGACUCCUAUGGGAGGCAGCAGUGGGGAAUUUUCCGCAAUGGGCGAAAGCCUGACGGAGCAACGCCGCGUGAGGGAUGAAGGCCUCUGGGCUGUAAACCUCUUUUCUCAAGGAAGAAGACCUGACGGUACUUGAGGAAUAAGCCACGGCUAAUUCCGUGCCAGCAGCCGCGGUAAUACGGGAGUGGCAAGCGUUAUCCGGAAUUAUUGGGCGUAAAGCGUCCGCAGGCGGCCUUGUAAGUCUGUUGUUAAAGCGUGGAGCUCAACUCCAUUUAAGCAAUGGAAACUACAAGGCUGGAGUGUGGUAGGGGCAGAGGGAAUUCCCGGUGUAGCGGUGAAAUGCGUAGAUAUCGGGAAGAACACCAGUGGCGAAGGCGCUCUGCUGGGCCAUAACUGACGCUCAUGGACGAAAGCCAGGGGAGCGAAAGGGAUUAGAUACCCCUGUAGUCCUGGCCGUAAACGAUGAACACUAGGUGUCGGGGGAAUCGACCCCCUCGGUGUCGUAGCCAACGCGUUAAGUGUUCCGCCUGGGGAGUACGCACGCAAGUGUGAAACUCAAAGGAAUUGACGGGGGCCCGCACAAACGGUGGAGUAUGUGGUUUAAUUCGAUGCAACGCGAAGAACCUUACCAGGGUUUGACAUCCUGCGAACCCCUGAGAAAUCGGGGGGUGCCUUCGGGAGCGCAGAGACAGGUGGUGCAUGGCUGUCGUCAGCUCGUGUCGUGAGAUGUUGGGUUAAGUCCCGCAACGAGCGCAACCCACGUCUUUAGUUGCCAGCAUUCAGUUGGGCACUCUAGAGAGACCGCCGGUGAUAAACCGGAGGAAGGUGUGGAUGACGUCAAGUCAUCAUGCCCCUUACAUCCUGGGCUACACACGUACUACAAUGCUACGGACAAAGGGCAGCAAGCUCGCGAGAGUUAGCAAAUCCCAUAAACCGUGGCUCAGUUCAGAUCGUAGGCUGCAACUCGCCUACGUGAAGGAGGAAUCGCUAGUAAUCGCAGGUCAGCAUACUGCGGUGAAUACGUUCCCGGGCCUUGUACACACCGCCCGUCACACCAUGGAAGUUGGCCAUGCCCGAAGUCGUUACUCCAACCCUUGUGAGGAGGACGCCGAAGGUGGGGCUGAUGACUGGGGUGAAGUCGUAACAAGGUA